UUCUUUGCUGUGUGCUACUUACCGCAAUACACGCAAGGUACGACGUCAUAGACGUCGUAUACUGACGUCAGUAUACAUGUGUCGUUUUAGUGUCAUGUUGUUAUGUCUAACUCUGCGUUUCUUCUUGUGUUCCUGUUGUUGUACAUUCACCUUGGAUAAUACUGUGACGUUACGUGUACGACUAAACGCGGUAGUUAUUUACAUGGUGUCAGGAAUGGGAUUUACAGUCCCGUAUGCUGCAGAGAUGUAGCUUUAUACUGUAUGUUGAAAUACGACAAAGUGAAGCCUAAUACACUGCUACCAUACAGAAACGGACAUGAGUGAGGUCGCGAGGAUCUGGGAACAAGAUUACGCAUUUUCAUCUAUCCAAUGAUGUUGGAGAAACUACAAGGAGGCGAAGAGAAAGCAUCUGAAGUGACAAGAGGCAAAACGCUGGACAUGGCAGUUGCAAUGGCUUCAUCGUCGGGCAUUAACUAGAGUAUGUGCAUUGUAG